GGCUAGUACAAAGGUAGCAAGCAAUCUGAAUUGAUUGUUCAGAGUCAGAUCAAACUCCUUGUUCUACUCUUCCCCCCUUCUCACUCUUGCAAUUAACUAGUCUUAA
ensembl:misc_RNA Y_RNA Y RNA